UUUUUAUUGUAUUUACAUUAGUACUGUACGUUGUUUAUUGCAGCGACUCAGCUUGUUCUGCAUUGUAUAUCACCUCCUUGAUGUGAUUAAAAAUUCAAUGAGCAAUUGUAAGUAUCAAUGACAUCACAGACUGCUAUAGUUACUUUUACUACAAAAACCCAGGUGAUAAUCACAUGUUUGUUGGAUCAAUAUCUCAUGCAAUAAUGUUUCCUCCUCUGUCAUUAUUUUCCUUCUUAUUGAACAUUAUUUCAUUUUAAUCAGUAUCUUCUUCUUUCAUCAGGAGAAUGAAUCAGCUGCCUGUUCCUUGUACCAAAAACAUCCAGGACUGUUUAAACUCAUAUACACUUCAAAACAUCCACAGCAUCUUCAGAGGAGAACAUCACGGAGAACUGCAGAAGAGCUGUGCAGACACUUGGCAGCUCAUCGCAGCUUUGUGAGCCGGUGCUGGAGAUACUCGGGGACACAACUGCUGAGUAGUUAUCCUGUCGUGUGUCAUCCUGAGGAUACGCCUCGAGUUUCCUGACCCGACUGGACAGUAUUUUGGCUUCGGCCCGCCCCUUGACUACACCUGGACAUGUGUCGAGCCACCACUCCUUCUUUUGAGAGCCAGGUAUUUUCUGCAGCUCUUCCAUGAAUGGUUCUGGUUCCUGAAACAUCUCCUCCAACACCAGUGUCAUCAAGUCCCCGACAGAUUCUCUAAAAAAGUAAUUCAAGAACAAAAAUCUAUUUCAUAAUGUUUGGUUAUUACUCAUUUUUCACACUCAUCUGUUUUUUGGAAAUGGUUAAAAAGACUUUGAAGGUAUAUUUAAAUAGGUAUUUAUCACUUUAAAGGUUUAAAAAUAGAUUGUGCUUUUGGGUUUAAAAAAUAAAAGAAUUUGUAACUCA